CUCAGUAACACGUGGAUAACCUAGCCUUUAGGACCGGAAAUAACCCCGGGAAACUGGGGAUAAUACCGGAUAAGCCAUAGAAGCUGGAAAUGCCCUAUGGUUUCAAAGCUCCGGCGCCUAAGGAUGGAUCUGCGGUCUAUCAGGUUGUAGUGGGUGUAACGUACUACUAGCCGACGACGGAUACGGGUUGUGAGAGCAAGAGCCCGGAGAUGGAUUCUGAGACACGAAUCCAGGCCCUACGGGGUGCAGCAGGCGCGAACACUUUACAAUGCGGGAAACCGCGAUAAGGGAACCCCGAGUGCCAGCAUCAAAUGUUGGCUGUCCAGAUGAUCAAAAAUCAUUUGUUAGCAAGGGGCCGGGGCAAGACCGGUGCCAGCCGCCGCGGUAACACCGGCGGCCCGAGUGGUAGCCGUUUUUAUUGGGGUCUAAAGGGUCCGUAGCCGGCCUGAUAAGUCCUUUGGGAAAUCUGGCAGCUUAACUGUCAGGCUUCUAAGGGAUACUGUCAGGCUGGGGACCGGAAGAGGUAAGGGGCACUCCAGGGGGUAGGAGUGAAAUCUGUAAUCCCUGGGGGACCAUCUGUGGCGAAGGGCCUUACCAGAACGGGUCCGACGGUGAGGGACGAAAGCUAGGGGAGCAAACCGGAUUAGAUACCCGGGUAGUCCUAGCUGUAAACGAUGCUCGCUAGGUGUCAGACACGGUGCGACCGUGUUUGGUGCCGCAGGGAAGCCGUUAAGCGAGCCACCUGGGAAGUAGCGGUCGCAGGGGCGGAAACUAAG
rnacentral:rRNA from 1 species